UGGGUCGUUUUAUGUCCACGCGUUGCAUUUGUGGGGAUCCGGCUUCGGGUAGGUGUGGGAAGGAUAGAACCGUCGAGCUCCGCCGGCGCGCCGGCGUCCUGUUGCCCUCGCGAGGCCCGCCGGUGCGGCGGGCGGCACGUGCCGGGGUCGCCCGGUGGCCCCGGCGGCGUGCGCACGCGUGGCACGUGCGCCACAGCCGUGCCGCGCGGCGCCGUGCGCCGCGGCACGCGCGGCGCGCGCGCGGCUGCCGAUCCGGUGCGCGCGGCGGCGCACGCGCGCGCGCCAAAAAGUGGCCUGGUCCUGGGUCGUUUUAUGUCCACGCGUUGCAUUUGUGGGGAUCCGGCUUCGGGUAGGUGUGGGAAGGAUAGAACCGUCGAGCUCCGCCGGCGCGCCCGGCGUCCUGUUGCCCUCGCGAGCCCCGCCGGGUGCUGCGGCGGGCGGCACGUGCCUUUAGGGGUCGCCCGGUGGCCCCGGCGGCGUGCGCACGCGUGGCACGUGCGCCACAGCCGUGCCGCGCGGCGCCGUGCGCCGCGGCACGCGCCGGCGCGCGCGGGCUGCCGAUCCGGUGCGCGCGGCGGCGCACGCGGGCGCGCCAAAAAGUGGCCUGGUCCUGGGUCGUUUUAUGUCCACGCGUUGCAUUUGUGGGGAUCCGGCUUCGGGUAGGUGUGGGAAGGAUAGAACCGUCGAGCUCCGCCGGCGCGCCCGGCGUCCUGUUGCCCUCGCGAGCCCCGCCGGGUGCUGCGGCGGGCGGCACGUGCCUUUAGGGGUCGCCCGGUGGCCCCGGCGGCGUGCGCACGCGUGGCACGUGCGCCACAGCCGUGCCGCGCGGCGCCGUGCGCCGCGGCACGCGCCGGCGCGCGCGCGCUGCCGAUCCGGUGCGCGCGGCGGCGCACGCGGGCGCGCCAAAAAGUGGCCUGGUCCUGGGUCGUUUUAUGUCCACGCGUUGCAUUUGUGGGGAUCCGGCUUCGGGUAGGUGUGGGAAGGAUAGAACCGUCGAGCUCCGCCGGCGCGCCCGGCGUCCUGUUGCCCUCGCGAGCCCCGCCGGGCUGCGGCGGGCGGCACGUGCCUUUAGGGGUCGCCCGGUGGCCCCGGCGGCGUGCGCACGCGUGGCACGUGCGCCACAGCCGUGCCGCGCGGCGCCGUGCGCCGCGGCACGCGCCGGCGCGCGCGGCUGCCGAUCCGGUGCGCGCGGCGCACGCGGGCGCGCCAAAAAGUGGCCUGGUCCUGGGUCGUUUUAUGUCCACGCGUUGCAUUUGUGGGGAUCCGGCUUCGGGUAGGUGUGGGAAGGAUAGAACCGUCGAGCUCCGCCGGCGCGCCCGGCGUCCUGUUGCCCUCGCGAGCCCCGCCGGGUAUGCGGCGGGCGGCACGUGCCUUUAGGGGUCGCCCGGUGGCCCCGUCGGCGUGCGCACGUGCGCACGUGCGCCGCGGCACGUGCCGGCGCGCUUGGCGGCCGAGCCGGUGCGCGCGGCGGCGCACGCGGGCGUGCCCAAAAGUGGCCUGGUCCUGGGUCGUUUUAUGUCCACGCGUUGCAUUUGUGGGGAUCCGGCUUCGGGUUGGUGUGGGAAGGAUAGAACCGUCGGGCUCCGCCGGCGCGCCCGGCGUCCUGUUGCCUUCGCGAGCCCCGCCGGGUGCUGUGGCGGGCGGCACGUGCCUUUAGGGUCGCCCGGUGGCCCCGUGGGCGUGCCCAAAAGUGGCCUGGUCCUGGGUCGUUUUAUGUCCACGCGUUGCAUUUGUGGGGAUCCAGCUCUGGGUACCUGUGGGAACCGGGAAACCCUCGAGACGCUCGUAGUUCCGCGCACGGCGUCCCGCCGCGUCCCCGGCCGUCCGCUGACCCCCGUCCGGCGUCGACGGGCCCCUCGGGGCCUCCGACGCACGGUCGCGCGCGGCGCGGCGCCGGGUCGCCUCGGGCACGUGACGGCGCGUGAGUAGUGGUCUGCGCGUUGCGCCUGCGGCCUCCCUGCCCGAGUGCAGCCGACCGCGGGCGCGGGUCGCGUCUCGUUCGUCCCCGGAUGCCGGAGGGCUCGCCCCUCGUGGUCUGUACCGCCUAGCCGGAAUGCGGCAACCUCGGAACCCCGACGACUGGGCGCCGGCUCUCCCCUCCCCAGCGGGCGGGCGAGAGGCGGCCGGUCGCGGCCCCGUGCGUCCCCGACUCGCCCAGCGCGUGU
rnacentral:rRNA from 1 species